AACAGGAAGGCCACCAAAAAAAAAUUUUUUUGAGGGGGGGAAGGGGGGGGACAGACGGUGGUGUUAAUAGGUUCUUCUAUGCUUUACUUUUCUGGGAAGGGAAACAAAAUCUCUCACCCUGUCUCACAAAUAGAAAACAAUUAGAGAAGGAACUGGACACCUAAUCUUUCUGGAACAGAUAGCUAAUGAAAAACCUGUAGUUUUUCAUGCAGAACCAGUUGAAUAAUCAUGUAACAAAUAGAGGGGAGGGGAAGCACAGCAAUGGAGAAAACAUACACACCACACCCUGAUUAAGCUCUUGGAGAUAUGACACAAACGCAGAGUUAUCCAUUUUCUUUUCUAUCUGGAUUCAUUAUAAGGUCCCAUCAGGUUGAAGGACCAGGCAGGAAAUUACCUCAUUCUACAUGUUAUUUAUUUAUUUUUUAUUUAUUUAUUUUGUCACACGAUAUAUAUAAGCAUAAGCAUGAAAUAAUUAUACAAUAUAUAAGCAUAUAUAUGAGUAUGAGUAUGUAAUGACUAUAUUAAUUGGAUAUAACAAAAGGAAACAAUAGGACAGGAACGGUAGACACGUUUGUGCUGUUAUGCACGCCCUUUACAGACCUUGUCCUGCUUGCAGGCUCGUAUCUGCAUCAUGUUGUUAUGAGAUGCAAAGGGAAACAACUCGGUUGAACUAUGCAUCACAUGCAAGAUAUGUCCCUGAGUAAUGCUUUGCUUUCUUUGCCAUGCCCGUAUUUACAUGGUUUCCUUGAAGUGGCCUUUGGCCCUUGAUUUUGCAAUAAUCUCUCUGUCAAUUAUAGUGUGAUCUAGGAAAGGAGCAGGCAGCCUUUUAAGAUACAGAGGAUUCAGCCCUUGGCUUUUGAGUGACAUACCACAGAUGAUCCUUCAAACAGUGGGUGGGGCCAUGCCAAAACGAAAAUUAAUUACAUAGCGCUAAUAUGAUGAUUCCACAAGGGUUAACAUUCCCCUUCUGUCAUAUUACAAUUGCAGUUGUCAUGAACACCGUCGAAGCAUUUUUCUAUUUCCACCUUGAUUGAAAGAUCCAUUUGUAUUAUCUUUUUUAUAUCCUAAUUUUUAUUACAGGUAGUCCUCAACUUACAACAGUCCAUUUAGUGACUGUUCAAAUUUACAACGGAACUGAAAAAAGUGGCUGAUGACCAUUUUUCACAGUUAUGACCUUUGCAGCAUCCCCAUGAUCAUGUGAUCAAACUUCAGAUGCUUGGCAACUUGCUCAUAUUUAUGAGGUUGCAGUGUUCUGGAGUCAUGUGAUCACUUUUUGUGACCUUCUGACAAGCAAAGUGAAUGGGGAAACCAGAUUCAUUUAACAACCGGAUUACUAACUUAUCAACUGCAGUGAUUUGCUUAACAACUAUGGUAAGAAGGGUCAUAAAAUGGGACAAAACUCAAUUAACAAAUGUAUCACUUAACAACAGAAACUUUGGGCCCAAUUAUGGUCAUAAGUCAACCAUAAUUUGCUUCUGUAUUCUUUACAGAAGGAAAGAUAAAAAAAAACACUAAUGCAAACUAAGAAAAUACAGACAUUAAAAAAAGAAAAAUAAGAAGUGCAAAGUUUUAUCUGAUAUGUGUUUCUUAACAAUUAUAACAAAUAUCAGCAUAAGGGUUCUGGGUCCAUCUUGAUGACACAACACAACACUGCACUUAAAUAUAGCUCUCCUUAUCAUUGACUAGCAUUAACAGAGGGUAGAAAAUAUGGGGUCGCAUUAAUUAAAUUAUAGAGGAAAAGUGCUGAAAACAAUCUAUGUUUGCCACUAUUAACAAUUUCCAAAACAUCCAAAAGGAAUAGUAGAAAUCUAAAUAUGGCUUGUGAUCUUAAUUGGUGUAUUGCAUGCACAAAUCUUUUGACUUUUAAUAUUUUAAUAACAUUCCAGCACGUCAAUCAAUCUGUAUUAACAGGCCCCAGCAAAGCUAUUUUCACAUUCAAAAGAUGACAGGAUACUAAUUUCAGAAAGUUUGCCUUUUCAUUAUUUCAGAAUAUUUUGGCAAAUAGAAGAUCUGCAAUCAGAAAGGUUUUUUUCCUUUACCCAGCCAUUUCUGCCUAUACAGUUUUGAAUUGUUGUGCAGAGUAUGCAAAUCAUUCCUCAACGGAAGAUUUGAGGAAGAUACUCAAAUCUUCCCACAUAAUCAAAUAUGAUUGUGUCUAAAAUGUGUUUUCCAGUGCAGCGUAAUUCCUCAUACAACAUGUAAGUGUAGGAGUGCUAAACUUCUAAGAUAAUAUGCCUCUGGCCUUAGAUUCUACCAAGGUUCAGGAAUUUAUCCAGGAUAUCCUCCUAAAAUUAUUAGAAUCACUUCCAAAGAAUGCAUUAAAGUAAUUCAUCCUAAUCUAUCUUCAAUUAAAUUAGUUUUGUAAUCUUACUUAACCUAGUUUAUGAAUGAUCUCACUGAGUCCUUGAAGUCCUAAAGAAGCCCAAGAGGGAUAUGUGACCCUAGAAAACAAUAUACUGAAAGAUAUAGCCAGAAAACAUCCUCAUAAGAAGAAAUAAAGCUUUUAGGAAGCUAUUGGGUAAAAGAUGGAUUUACUAACAAAUUUAGCAGUAGGGGGAAAAAAUCUGUAGAAAACAGAGUCUAGUAACUCAGGAGGAGGAGAAACUUUCCCCUUGAGUCUAUUUGGAUGGAGUCAUAAAUGUUAAGCUAUAGCCUAGAACUGUGAUGUUGAACCUAUGGCACAUGUACCACAGGUAGCAUACAGCAGCCUCUCUGUGGGCACGGGAGCCGUUACCCCAGUUCAGUUCUGCCGUGCAUGUGCGCGUGCCACCCGCCGGCCAGCUAGUUGUUGGGUCUCUGCUGCGUGCACAGGGGUUGCAUACAGGGGUGCAUGUGCGCAUGUGCAGGGGGCAUGGCAAAAUGUGCAUACAUUGCAUUUUGGGGGUUCGGGCACGCACGUGUACAUUCGCACACACAUUCGUGCCCUUUGGGAACUCAGUCCGGAAAAGGUUUGCCAUCACGGGCCUAGAAUAUGAUAAAAUUAACAAACAAUGCAAAUUAUAAGAAAGAUAGCGAUGUGGCAGUAUGUCUAAAAUAAAAGAAGAAGAAUGGAGGCUUUUGAUUUGUUGCAUGGGAAAGGUGUAAAAGCAAUAAUAAGAAGUAGGAAGAGGGUGGAACUGUUUGUUGCCAGUUAACACCUUUAUAUCUGCAAUAUUUUCUCAGGAAAAAAAAAAUCUCCCAAAUGCUUGGAAAAAGUGAUAGAAUGAAGCUCAGGCCUAAAACACUAAAGGAAUUAGGUUUCCAGGGCUAUUGAACUACAUUCCAGGAUGUUCAAGGUGUUGGACAAAAUGAUCUCAGAACCGCUGAUUCUCAUCUUUGAAAAUUCCUGGAGAACUGAUAAGGUGUCAGCAAACUGGAGAAAAGCAAACAAAUUUCAAUACUCAGCAAGUGGAAGAAGGAAGACCAGAAAACUAAACACCACUUAGUUAACAUCUGGGCAAGGGACUAGGAUAGGUUAUCAAGCAGCAUGUCCACAAGCAGUGCUGGCUGAAGGUUAGGUACACCCUUAGGCCACACUGACUGAUAAUGCCAUUUUGCACUGAUAUAAAAUUUGCACUUCUGGAAUGAUUCUGAAAGACAGGCAGUGUUAUUGCUCCUUACAUUGGCCCCCCAGCCAGUCCCUACUUGGCCUUAAGGAGCCUGCAAGCACUUAAAAAGAGAAUACUUCCUUUAGAAGCAGCCAUCAAAGUUUUAUUCUCACCUAUCAAUUGGCAAGGUCAAGCACAUUAAAGCCACCUCUAACUUUCCUAUGUUUUGUUGUACCACUUCUGAAUUUCUCCAGAAACAUGGCUUUUUUAUUGAGCUAGCUCUUUCAGUUUUCCUAGAAUUCUUCUUCAUUUCCUAAAAAGAAAGCUAUUGAAUAUUCGGUUUAACUCCGAAGGGAGCACACCCAAAGUUGUUUUGUCCUUUUCUAUAUCCUGCAACUUCCCUUUCAUUGAAAUUUUUAUUAUUCAUUGGAUUGCAUAACAUAUGCAAACAUUCUAUAGUGAUUCUCAAAAUGGUUCUGGAUUCCCUUAAGACUUUUCCUGCUUUAUAUUUGCUACUCUUACCUGGAAGCCACACCCCAGAAGCAAUUGCUUUCUCGCCUUGUGCUAUAUUGUUUCCCAAUAGAAAACACUAUCAUUUAUUCAUAUUACACACACACACACACACACACACGUAAACUGAGACAAAUCAGUUUUGCAUUUCUCUUGUAGAUCCAGAAAGUCAUAGCAUGUUUCCGCAUACUAUUACUUACAGCAAGAAACACUAGAUUUGGGAUUUAAGAUUAGCAGUCCACUACAGUGUCUACUUGGCUUCUCUCUGACAAAGGCUAAGUAAAGUUAGACCUGGUCAAUAUUUGGAUGGGAGCAACCCAAAUCUACAGACUGGCAUGGCAAGUCAAAAAGAGAAGUUAAUGGCAAACUACAGUGGAAGACAAGGAGAUUGCUGACCUACCAGACAACUUGGGGAGAGGAAAACAUUAUGUUCUGCAGCAUCCACAAAAAUCAAGCAGAAAUAAAUGAUGAUCCAAAAGUCCAUUAGUCAACAAUGCUCUAUCCAACCCUUUAUGGAGACAACAGCAGAAUGACAACGUAUAUUUUCUGGGCAAUCAGAGGGCAAAGGGAAAAAGUUGUGUCCUGAAAUGACCAAGCAUGAAAUGACCUAUUAUUGGUCAUUCAAUCGCCUCUCCAACAAAAUGGGUUGCCAAGUGUAACCUAUUUUACAUCUCUUGUGGCUGAUGAUGGAUACUUCUUG